GGCCGCGUGUGGGACGGCUCGCGUUUUGCGGCCUGGGAGCCGCCGCUUGGCCUGGCGGGGUUGGGGCGCAGGGACUGGCUACUUGCCCCUGUUUGUAGAAGUCGCUGCCUGUACUUUCUGUCAGCCAAGUCGUGACUUUCCUGUCACGAAAACUUCAUUAGUUAUUUCGGCACCCUCCUAUCUUCGCUUGUACAUAUUAGCCAGCUCUUUACUGAUCUCGGUGUUUAUCCAAUUAGUUGUGACAUACAGAUCCUUUCUCCUGCACCGUCUUGUUUACAAACCUAAUUUAAACACAGUGCUUGUUAAAACAGGCCUUCGCAGACUAGGACAGAAAGAUUUGAAAUAGAUUUUGUGAGCAACAAACUGCUAUUACCGAACAGUUUUCAGAGAGACCAAAUUCUCACUAAGUUAUUUUUGCUGGAAUUCACUGUGGGGAUUCACUGUGCUGGAUCUAGCUUGAGCGUGUGCUGCAUCGCUGGUGGUCUUCUGUCUUCAAGAGCUUAAAGUCAGAGCUGCUGCUGCUGGUCUAAGUCGUCGCAAAUGCAGUGUCUCCAGAUGAAUGCAAAGAUUGCGUUCCACCACCUCCGCUGGCGCAUCGGUAGUGUUUUAGACUGUUUCUGCUGGAAACACCUGCCCCGUCAUCUUGCUGUGACUUCAGAUACAGGAUGAUACGUACGUUUUUAAUGGAAGUAAGCGGCAGACCGCGACUUUCUUACUCGGUCUUUGCUAUGACCAGGCAGAUGCUGCGGGCGGUGCAGUAGCUGGAGGGAGGAGAGCUGGCGCGCUCGCUCGGGGACGGGCGCUGAGGCUGGACGCUUGCCUCUGGAGCCUAAUGCUUUUUGCACUGGUGUGACAACAAGAGCUGUGCAGAGAAACUGAUGAAGGCUGGCCUUGAAGAUGCAAGUUGAAUCUUUGGUCCUGAGGAUGCUUGUCUUGGACAACCUGGUGCAGUCCAAAGACCCUGAGCCGGCUUCACCGAGAUGCUUCAGGAUGCUGAGGUGCUCCAUUGCUCUGUGGCGUUCAGGAGCUUCACUCACCAGCUCAGUUUUCACGGGCCUGUUAAAUGCCUGAGACCUGAUUAAGGGGCAAAACAUGAACUCGAGACUCCUCAUAAGAUUUCAGCUCCAGGAUAGAGCAGAUAUCAUACAAAAAAGCUAGUAAUGGGGCAGAGUCUGGAGAGCAAGAUUAUCUCCCUGAGCCUGAUGAAGACUAGGAGCAGUAGCAGGAAAAAUAUGGUGAGUCCCAGCUAAGCCUGAGCGCUGCUGUCGUGCUCCUGACCGCAGAGCUGCUCCCAGGACGGGGUCUUCCCUUAAGCCCGCCCGGCGGCCAGCUCCCGGCCAGGACUUCGCUUGGGCACGAGUGCAGAUUUUCACUUCUCCAGGUGUUGUUUGUGGAUUAAGUCACACAAGCAUAAAAACAAGCAAAUCUCUUAAAACUAAAUAGCCGCUACCACUUAAAAAAGUUCUUCAGGCAUUAAUAGAAACGGCCGAACCCGUUGUGCUGCGAUUUCCCGUUGUCAGGGCAGAGGAUGGAGCGGGUGGGAGUCGGGCGGGGGGAGCUUAGCGGGAGCAGCAACUGCUGCGGUCCUCGGCGCAGCGCCUGCGUGACAGCGGAUUGUGACAGAUGCUGAGAAAUCUGAAAGCUCGUAUUUUAAUGUGGUACUAAAUUCACGGAGACACGUCUGCAAAGCAAAAAAAAUGAGAGGCCACUUACUGAGCCAGUCUAAAUGUACUGA
ensembl:lncRNA